rnacentral:rRNA from 1 species
GACGAACGCUGGCGGCGUGCUUAACACAUGCAAGUCGAACGGAAAGGCCUCAGCUUGCUGGGGUACUCGAGUGGCGAACGGGUGAGUAACACGUGGGUGAUCUGCCUUGCACUUCGGGAUAAGCUUGGGAAACUGGGUCUAAUACCGGAUAGGACAGCUGUUUAGUGUCAGUUGUGGAAAGUUUUUUCGGUGCAAGAUGAGCUCGCGGCCUAUCAGCUUGUUGGUGGGGUAAUGGCCUACCAAGGCGUCGACGGGUAGCCGGCCUGAGAGGGUGGACGGCCACAUUGGGACUGAGACACGGCCCAGACUCCUACGGGAGGCAGCAGUAGGGAAUCUUCGGCAAUGGGGGGAACCCUGACCGAGCAACGCCGCGUGAGUGAAGAAGGUUUUCGGAUCGUAAAGCUCUGUUGUUAAGGAAGAACGUGUGUGAGAGUGGAAAGUUCACACAGUGACGGUACUUAACCAGAAAGGGACGGCUAAAUACGUGCCAGCAGCCGCGGUAAUACGUAUGGAGCGAGCGUUGUCCGGAAUUAUUGGGCGUAAAGGGUGCGUAGGCGGCUUUACAAGUUGGAUGUGAAAUAUUGUGGCUCAACCACAAACGUGCAUCCAAAACUGCAAAGCUUGAGUUAAGGAGAGGUAAGUGGAAUUCCUGGUGUAGCGGUGGAAUGCGUAGAUAUCAGGAGGAACACCGAUGGCGAAGGCAGGUUACUGGGCAGUUACUGACGCUGAGGAGCGAAAGCAUGGGGAGCGAACAGG